rnacentral:rRNA from 1 species
AUUGAACGCUGGCGGCAGGCCUAACACAUGCAAGUCGAACGAGUGGCGUACGGGAGAGCAAUGUCUGGGAUACUGACUGAUGGAGGGGGAUAACUACUGGAAACGGUAGCUAAUACCGCAUUCAGUCGGAUGUGCCCAGUUGGGAUUAGCUAGUUGGUGGGGUAAAGGCUCACCAAGGCGACGAUCCCUAGCUGGUCUGAGAGGAUGACCAGCCACACUGGCACUGAGACACGGCCCAGACUCCUACGGGAGGCAGCAGUGGGGAAUAUUGCACAAUGGGCGCAAGCCUGAUGCAGCCAUGCCGCGUGUAUGAAGAAGGCCUUCGGGUUGUAAAGUACUUUCAGCGGGGAGGCGUUACCCGCAGAAGAAGCACCGGCUAACUCCGUGCCAGCAGCCGCGGUAAUUC